rnacentral:rRNA from 1 species
GGGUGCGAUCAUACCAGUGUCAAUGCACCAGAUCCCAUUAGAACUCUGCAGUUAAGCGUGCUUGGGCUAAAGUAGUACUGGGAUGGGUGACCUUCUGGGAAGUCCUAGUGUUGCACCCU